GGAGCUGUGCCUGAAUGCCCAAGGACCACUUUGAUAGAGUGAUACACGGAGGCUAAAUUCCUCCCAGCCCCU
rnacentral:tRNA from 1 species